GUGCUUACCUCAGCAACACAUACAUUAAAAAUUGGAAUAAUACAGAGAAGAUUAGCAUGACCCCUGCAUAAGAAUGACACACAAAUUCAUGAAGCAUUUUAUAUUUUU
rfam:Canis lupus familiaris chromosome 11, whole genome shotgun sequence.